rnacentral:rRNA from 1 species
UACGUAGGGGGCAAGCGUUGUCCGGAUUUAUUGGGCGUAAAGAGCUCGUAGGCGGCCUGUCGCGUCGACCGUGAAAACCCGCAGCUCAACUGCGGGCUUGCGGUCGAUACGGGCAGGCUGGAGUUCGGUAGGGGAGACUGGAAUUCCUGGUGUAGCGGUGAAAUGCGCAGAUAUCAGGAGGAACACCGGUGGCGAAGGCGGGUCUCUGGGCCGAUACUGACGCUGAGGAGCGAAAGCGUGGGGAGCGAACAGG